rnacentral:tRNA from 1 species
GCCGCGAUAGCUCAGUUGGAAGAGCGCCGCCUUGGUAAGGCGGAGGUCUCGGGUUCGACUCCCGAUCGUGGCU